GUGGCUAUAGUAUAGUGGUUAGUAUACCUCAUUGUGGUUAUCUGAGGAGACGCCUGUUCGAUUCUGGCUAGCCACA
rnacentral:tRNA from 1 species